GGGGGAAUUUGGACACAGACACCCAGAAAGAACACUGUGUGACCACUGAGACAGAUCCUGCUUAUGCUGACUCAAGCCAAGGAAUGGCAAGGUUGCUGACCACCACCAGAAGCUAGGAGAGAGGAACGGAACAGGCUCCCUUUGAACCCCUAAGAAGAAGCUAGCCCUGCCAACAUCUUCAUUUCAGACUUCUGGCCUCCAGAUUGAGAAUACAUUUCUGUUGUUUUAAGCCACCAAGUUUGUGGUAAUGUGUUAUGGCAGCCUUAGGAAACUGAUACAUAGGUUAUGUUCCAUAAGUUAGUUUUAAACAAUUAUCCUGAAAAUAACUAAUAGGAAAAAGAUGAAAAAUACCAAUGGCUUAUUAAGCUAAGAGCUAAAAUAUCCAUCCUUGCUUAGUUUUGAUAAGAUUGUGUGGCCAAGGCACAUAUUAUUCUGCUUCGUUAAACACUCUUUUUAUUUUUUUAUUUGUGUGUGUGUUUUUAUUUUUAAUUUAUUUAUUUAUUUAUUUAUUUAGAGACGGAGUCUUGCUCUGUCACACAGGCUGGAGUGCAGUGGCACGAUCUCAGCUCACUGCAUGCUCCGCCUCCUGGGUUCACUAUGAUGCUUAGUCACUUUGGAAUAAUGGUCAGAUAGUUUUCAUACUCCCACGGGAAAUAUAUGGAGAACAGGCUAGGGAAACAUGUUUAUUCAAAUUUAAUACGAAGCAACCAAGCUAAGAGAGAAAAUGAUAGCACACCCAAGAAAGAAAGAAAUGUUAUUAUAUAAAUUUUCUUAGCUCUCAAACCACAAAUAAUUAUAAGAACUUAUCUUCCUAUCAUAAGAUCAUGGAACAUGAUGCCUAAACAUAAAAUUGUAAAUGUUUGUUUUGAAAAAGCCCAUUUUAUAACUGAGACAGAGAAAAGCUCAGUAGCAUUGCUGUUGAGUGGUAGGUAGAGCUUGAAUUUGUUGCAAGCUGGCUGACUCCAAGGCCAAAAGAUCAUGGGGAAUAUGUAUAUUGUUUCCAAGAAGACAAAGUUUCCAAGAGCAUCCUACAAGGUGCUGUUCAUUCUUGCCCCAAAUUCUCCAGAUGUCAUGAGAUAUAGAAGAGAAACAUCUUUCGAUGUUGUUCUAGUCAGAGGAGACUUCUAAUAGGCAGAGAACAAGUUAUGGAAGCUGUUCCUGAAAGAUGCAGUUGUCAUUGUGGAACCAGUCUUGGAUAUUGUGUGGCAGCUGGACCACACAGCCAUUGUUAUAAAGGAGAGCAAUAUGCCUUGUGACCCUUGUAUUAUUUAGGGUAUAGUCUUUCAGGGAGAAACAACUUUUCCUCUGUCCUCUUAGGUUCAGUAUCUGGGGGCCUGUGAAUUAAACUAACAAAAGAUAGAUUAAUGAGAGAAAAAGCGUGCAAUUUUUGCUAAUAUUUAUAUGCACAAGAGUUCACAGAAAAGAAGUGAAACUCAAAGAAGUAGUUAGACUUCUAGUUUACAUAUAAUUUUAAUAAAGGAAAAUUUGAACUUCAAGGGAUGAUAAAUCAUGGGGAAGUAACUAGGAAAUAUAUGGGGGAAACUAACAGAAGAUAAAGGUUCUUUUCCUAAGGUCUGUUAUGCAGAUUUAUCUUGGUGCCAACUCUCCAUCUCUGGUGAUAUAAGUUGCUCUCCUUUUCCUGAUACAGGAGAUAGACACCAUAACAAAGGGAAACUCAUGCCCAACUUCUAGGCAGAUAAAGGGAGGGUGGAGAACUCUUCUACAUCUGUUGAUUUUCAGUUGCCUUUGGGUCAAAAUAAACCUUACGUUAAAGUGGCAUAUUUUGGGGUAGCGUAUCCUGAUCCCCUUCAAGUAUUUCUUGUCAUGAUUUCUAUGACAUCAGUUUCUCCUAAUUCUCUCCAGCUUCAUCUUCUCAUUCUCCUCCCUAAACUGCUUGUCUACUUACAUCGUGGUUUGUUAGAAAGAGUAGAUUGGCUCACUCAAGUUGAUCUUAACCUCCUCCUGAGUUUCAGGGGCUGGAAAGCUAAAAAGCUACAUAUCCUAAACUCCUUUGUUUCUUGAGUUCCAGACAUAUUUUAGAUUCUGCCAAUCAGAUGGACUCAUAUAGUAUGGAGACCUGAAAAGAGGCGGGUGGAUGCAAGGAAGCUAUUUUGGGGAAGAAUCUGAUAAAGGCAUUUAUUAGAUUUUCAAUAAAAUCCAUGUCUUAGUCCAUUUUGGCUGCCUAAACAACAAAUGUUUAUUUCUUACAGUUCUGGAGGCUGAGGAGUCUGAGAUCAAGCUAUCAGUAGAUUUGGUGUCUGGUGAAAGCCUACAUCCUGGUUUAUAGAUGGCCAUCUAUGGCCAUCAUGUUAUGUCUUCACAUGCAGGAGGGAUGGAGGGAGCUCUCUCUCU
rnacentral:lncRNA from 10 species